rnacentral:rRNA from 1 species
AUUGAACGCUGGCGGCAUGCCUUACACAUGCAAGUCGAACGGCAGCACGGGUGCUUGCACCUGGUGGCGAGUGGCGAACGGGUGAGUAAUACAUCGGAACGUACCUUAUCGUGGGGGAUAACGCAGCGAAAGUUGCGCUAAUACCGCAUACGCCCUGAGGGGGAAAGCGGGGGACCGUAAGGCCUCGCGCGAUUAGAGCGGCCGAUGUCUGAUUAGCUUAUUGGUGAGGUAAAAGCUCACCAAGGCGAUGAUCAGUAGCUGGUCUGAGAGGACGAUCAGCCACACUGGGACUGAGACACGGCCCAGGGUCCGACGGGAGGCAGAGGUGGGGAAGUUUGGAAAGUGGGGGCAACCCUGAUCCAGCAAUGCCGCGUGGGUGAAGAAGGCCUGCGGGUGGUAAAGCGCUUUUGUCAGGGAAGAAACAGCAGCUCUAACACAGUCUGCGAAUGACGGUACCUGAAGAAUAAGCACCGGCUAACUACGUG